UAGGGAAUCUUCGGCAAUGGACGAAAGUCUGACCGAGCAACGCCGCGUGAGUGCAGAAGGUUUUCGAAUCGUAAAACUCUGUUGUUAGAGAAGAACAAGGACGUUAGUAACUGAACGUCCCCUGACGGUAUCUAACCAGAAAGCCACGGCUAACUACGUGCCAGAAGCCGCGGUAAUACGUAGGUGGCAAGCGUUGUCCGGAUUUAUUGGGCGUAAAGUGAGCGCAGGAGGUUUCUUAAGUCUGAUGUGAAAGCCCCCGGCUCAACCGGGGAGGGUCAUUGGAAACUGGGAGACUUGAGUGCAGAAGAGGAGAGUGGAAUUCCAUGUGUAGCGGUGAAAUGCGUAGAUAUAUGGAGGAACACCAGUGGCGAAGGCGGCUCUCUGGUCUGUAUCUGACGCUGAGGCUCGAAAGCGUGGGGAGCAAACAGG
rnacentral:rRNA from 1 species